GACGAACGCUGGCGGCGUGCCUAACACAUGCAAGUCGAGCGGAGUUGACAAGAGGAAGUUUUCGGAUGGAAUCUUGCCAGCUUAGCGGCGGACGGGUGAGUAACGCGUGAGCGACCAACCUUGCACAGGGGGAUAACGGACCGAAAGGUUCACUAAUACCGCAUGAGACCACGGUGUUGCAUGACACAGGGGUCAAAGGAGGAAUCCGGUGCAAGACGGGCUCGCGUCCGAUUAGGUAGUUGGAGGGGUAACGGCCCACCAAGCCUAGGAUCGGUGGCCGACCUGAGAGGGUGAUCGGCCACAUUGGAGCUGAGAUGCGGUCCAAACUCCUACGGGAGGCAGCAGUGGGGAAUAUUGGGCAAUGGGGGAAACCCUGACCCAGCAACGCCGCGUGAAGGAAGAAGGUUUUCGGAUUGUAAACUUCUGUCCUUGGUGAAGAGAAGAAGACGGUAGCCAAGGAGGAAGCCCCGGCUAACUACGUGCCAGCAGCCGCAGUAA
rnacentral:rRNA from 1 species